AAUCGGUGAAAUUGAUCUCCCUGUGCAAAAGCAGGGAUAAACCCAUAAGACGAGAAGACCCUGUGGAACUUUAAAAACAGCGGCCACCCCAAUUUACAUACACACCCACCGGGCUCCCUUAUACAUAAGCCACUGGCUCGCAUUUUUUCGGUUGGGGCGACCUUGGAGAAAAACAAAUCCUCCAAAAAUUAGACCUUAACUCUAGACCGAGAGCAACCCCUCAACGUGCUAACAGCACCCAGACCCAAUAUAAUUGAUCAAUGGACCAAGCUACCCCAGGGAUAACAGCGCAAUCUCCUUUAAGAGUCCAUAUCGACAAGGAGG
rnacentral:rRNA from 1 species